GCCGCGGCUGUGUGUGUAGGCAGCCGCUCCAGAGAAGGAGGAGCACGAGGAUGUCGCUGCGACCGCGGCCCCGAGAGGGAGCCGCUGCUGCUUUGUGGCCGCGGGGGCUGAGGGACGGGAAUCAGGCCUCCCGGGGGUCGCGUCCCUGAGGGGACCGGGGGCGGCGGUCCCGCCCGAGCUCGGGCCUAGUACCCGGGGUGGGUCCGGGCCCUUGGGCGAGGGCCUCUCCCCCAUUGCCUCCCCUCGCCCCUCCACGUCGAUGGUGGUGAAGUUGGCAGCGCCAGGGAGUGCAAGGCACCAGGCUGCCUCCGUUGCACCCAGCUCCUUCUGGCGUGCGUCUCUCGUUCUGGCUCACGGACACCUGCGCCGCUGCCUCCUCUAGCCCGCUGAGCCCACCCCUGGCGGCGGGCGGGGGAGGGGCUUCCCCCUGCAGGGACUGUGUCGAACUGGGCAACGACGGGACCGUAGGAGAGUAGGGGUCCUAAAAAGGUGAACCCACUGGAGCUGGCUGGGGGAGAAAAGAAAAGUUUAUUACAAAAGGAACUGUCUGAGGAAUCAUAAGGAUUUCUAAAUAUGGAAAAAGGAGAAAUAAUCACUUGUUAAAAAAUCAGUUGUAUACUUUUUUCACAUCUGAAGAAAGAAGGCACAUAUAAUGCAACUGUUGGAAGACAUCAAAAGGUUGAUUUUUUAAGUUAAGAACAUUUGGCUUGGGAUUCAAGAUGAUGGUAUAGGAAGAUCCUGAACUCACCACCUCCCAUGAACACCAAAUCUAUAGCAACAUGAAGAACAAUUCCCUCUGAACACUAGCUGGACAGCAUCUCCACAACAAAGGAUAAAAGGACAACAUCGAGAUAAGUAGGAGAGGAAGAGAUGUGGUCUUGCCAAAAACCCCAUCCCAGGCACAGUGACCCACAAUUGGAGGAAACUCACAAAUAUGUGACUUCUCCCUAUGGAGUGAGGGGUUUGUUCCCCACAUUGGGCACUCCAGGUCCCAAGACAAAUCCUCAAAAUGCCUGGCUUUGAAAACCAAUGUAGCUUUUGUCCAGGAGAUCCAAAGGGUUGUUGGGAACUAAGAUCCCUCUCUUAAAGGGGCUCACAAGCAGACACACUUACUCCAAGAGCCAGCACAGAAAAGACAGUUUGAAAAGCUCCUAGACCAUAUGGGAAAGAGAUUCAUUUACUAACCUUAAAGCAUCUAGCAAAGGGGCAUAGGCCCACUGGGACUCUAUCCAGACAUAGAGGCACUGAUGGAUGCCUUUUUUUUUCUCUCCCUCUACUUUGCUACUGCUGGCUGGCUUGGCCUGCCCCUAUGUUUUUCCAUAGCCCCACUAAAGCUGGUGGGUACAUCCUGCACCCUUGUUCUCCCAUAACUCUACUAAAGCUGGUAAGUGCAUACAAUCCACACAAGUGAUGCCCCUUGAGUGCCUGGCACUGGUGGCCAAGGGACCUUGCAUUUCUGGGCCCCAUGAGACUGAAACAAAGAGACAGUUCUUGACAGAUUGUCACCUGCAGAGCACAGGCAGCAUACUGAAACACAGCCCCAGUCCACCUGUGAAAAAGUCCUAUUCUCCUGGAGCUUCAGCCUGAGGGUCAGACUUCAGGUUUAUCACAUAUCUAGAGGCUCCAGAGUUGCCAUCAGAGAACAUAAACUAGUGGACACCAUCUUUGUGCUUUCUGUUAGUCUUACUACAGCUCAACAGUACUUCCUUUAAUGGAGCUUAAACAUUCACCUGGAGCCCCAACUUUUGCAACUGUCACUACGGGGACACAUCUAGAUGGUCUGAUCUAGAGGCCAGUAGGGUUUAUGAUUUCAGUCCCAGAGGACUGUACGUAUUUGCAUACUUUAAAAGCUCUUGUCUGAGUGUCUGGCUUCCAAUCAGCCUGAAAUUAGGUGCUUACUGAGACCCUUCCCUUUGGAACACUGAACUGUCUUGGCACAACCUCAACAACUAUGACCUGUCAAGAAUAAAUUAGGUUGCUUAGAUAAUAACAAAGAUUCUAGAGACAACCAAGAGCUAGGGCAAGGUCGAAAGAUAAGUUUCAUCAUCUACAUGAGGCUACUCCUUCAAGAUUGGGAGAGGUAGCUGUUUCACCAAAUGCAUAGACUCAAACAUGGAUAGUCAAACAAAAUGAGGAAACAGAGGAAUACGUUUCAAAUAAAAGAACAAGAUAAAACUCCAGACAAAAAUCUUAAUGAACCAGAGAUAAGUAUUCUUGUCUGAUAAAGUUUAAAGUAAUGGUCAUGAAGAUGCUCACCAAACUUGGGAGACGAAUGGAUGAAAACAGUGAGAACUUCAACAAAGAGCUAGAAAAUAUAAGAAAGUACCAAAAAGAAGUCACAGA